UCUCUUAUAUACAUACAUCACUCAAGUAGCAUGUGCUCAAUCAUAUCGUCAACCCUCUUUCACACCUACAUGAAUGUCACACCUUGGGACUAACACCUUGCCACCAUCUGGAAGAGGAUGUCCUCCCCCUCCCCGGCACCACCACACUGCACUCAACCCUCCCACCACUAUCAUUCCAACCUCCCACUGAUGUGUUAGAUCCCUGAACCCCUACCUGCUGUUCUUUACAAUGUGUUUAUAAUGUGUACAUUUUUAGCUUAGCGGCUGGUAAGACCAAAUACACUAUAUUAUUACUAUUAACACACACACACUUGACCAGUAAGCCCAGGCCACAACAGCCAGCCCAGCACAGUCACCAAAAAGAUCAGACCUUUCACAGGACCCACCAACCACAUGAAGCCUGGGGUGGAAAGUGAAUAACAGAUCAUGCCGUCACAGUCACCAUUUGUUCCAACAGAUGAAUAUUUUCUGUUCUCUGUGCUACACACAGCCCUGUAACACCACCACAACAAACACUUGCACUCACACACACAGCAGAACUGAAUCAGCACAGCACCUCAGGAGAAGUGGACCUUCAUGUGCCUGACAAUCUCACCCUUAGUCAUGAAACGUUUCCCACAAACAUCGCACUUGAACCCUUUAUGACCAGAGUGUCUGAAGACGUGCAUGUCCAAUAUACUCUUCAGUUUGAAUCUUUUCCCACAAACUUCACACUCGUGACUUCUUGCAUCAGUGUGUGUAACAAGGUGUAAUUUGAGGGUACCCUUCUGACUGAAACAUUUCCCACAAACUUCACACUCAUGAUUUCUUUCACCAGUGUGUGUAAGAGUGUGUAAUUUGAGGGUACCCUUCUGACUGAAACAUUUCCCACAAACUUCACACUCAUGAUUUCUUGCACUGGUGUGUGUAAGGGUGUGUGUGUUGAGGGUACCCUUCUGACUGAAACAUUUCCCACAAACUUCACACUCAUGAUUUCUUGCACUGGUGUGUGUAAGGGUGUGUGUGUUGAGGGUACCCUUCUGACUGAAACAUUUCCCACAAACUUCACACUCAUGGUUUCUUGCACCAGUGUGUGUAAGGGUGUGAUGUUUGGGGUUACUCCUAUUACUAAACCUUUUGCCACACUCCCGACUUUCAUGAGGUCUUACACCAGAGUGUGUGGGUGUAUUUGUUGAGGUCAUCCUUCCCUGCAUGUCUUUUCUCACACUCUUGGCUUUGGUCAGUAAACUUGCUCUCAUUCUCAGAUCUUCUCACACUUCUGAAAUUCAAACUUCCCCCUUUGUGGAUGAAGAGGCCAGCAGUUGUUGUUGUUGUUGGUUGUGUUGGUGGUGUUUUUUAUCACUCCUGAACCUCACACCAGUAGCAGUCUGCUCCUGCUGAUCCCAGCCACUCCAGCUGCUGUCCCGCCUUGCAGCCUCCACUGCAACACUACUCUGGAUGUGAGGAGUUGGCUGGCCUUGAGGAACCUCAGAGAUGCUGGAGAAGGCGGCGAGGUUGCUUCAAAGCCACACUCAGUGACCAAUUGAGCAGGCAAGGCGAGGGAUGCACCAAGGAGUCCUGAAGUCAGCGGCAGCAGGGACGGAACAAGUACUGACCACAGCAACUGUCUCGAUGCCUCACUUCAACACUAACACCAGUGGUGGACAUUGGGACACAAAGUCAU